AUUGAACGCUGGCGGUAGGCCUAACCCAUGCAAGUCGAGCGAGCGGCGGACGGGUGAGUAAUGUCUGGGAAACUGCCUGAUGGCGGGGGAUAACUACUGGAAACGGUAGCUAAUACCGCAUCCCAUCGGAUGUGCCACGAUGGGAUUGGCUUGUAGGUGAGGUAACGGCUCACCUAGGCGACGAUCCCUAGCUUGUUUGAGCGGGUGACCAGCCACACGGGGCCGGAGACACGGUCCAGACGCCUACGGGAGGCAGCAGUGGGGAAUAUUGCACACUAGGCGCAAGCCUGAUGCAGCCAUACCGCGUGUAUUAAGAAGGCCUUCGGGUUGUAAAGUACGUUCAGCUGGGAGGCGUUACCCGCAGAAGAAGCACCGGCUAACUCCGUGCCAGCAGCCGCGGUAAUUC
rnacentral:rRNA from 1 species